AGGGCUUACGGAGGAUGCCUUGGUACGUGGCGCCGAAGAAGGACGUGACAAGCUGCGAAAAGUUGCGGGGAGGAGCAAAUAUCCUGUGAUCCGCAAAUAUCCGAAUGAGGGAACUCCGCACGGGUAAAGCCGUGUGAUCCGUAUAUGAAUAGAUAGUAUACGGAGGGGAACCCGGGGAACUGAAACAUCUAAGUACCCGGAGGAAAAGAAAACAAAAGUGAUUCCGAAAGUAGUGGCGAGCGAAAUCGGAAGAGCCCAAACCGAAUGUAGAAAUACGUUGGGGGUAAGGACCGCGAAGAAGCGAGAGUGAAAGCUAACCGAAAUACCUGGGAAGGUAUAACGCAGAGGGUGAAAUUCCCGUAGGUGAAAGCGGAAGCUCGGCGAGCGGAAUCCGGAGUACGUCGGGACACGAGAAAUCCUGACGGAAGGAACGGGGACCAUCCCGUAAGGCUAAAUACGACCACGUGACCGAUAGCGAAUAGUACCGUGAGGGAAAGGUGAAAAGGACCCCGGGAGGGGAGUGAAAAAGAACCUGAAACCGUAAGUUUACAAGCAGACGGAGAGCGUUAAUGGCUCGACGUCGUACUUUUUGUAGAACGGGCCGGCGAGUUACGAUGUGAUGCGAGGUUAAGCGAUGAAGUCGCGGAGCCGAAGCGAAAGCGAAUCUGAAAAGGGUGAAAAGUAUCAUGUCGUAGACCCGAAACCGAAUGACCUAACCAUGAGCAGGUUGAAGCAAUGGUAAAACGUUGUGGAGGACCGAACACACGCCUGUUGAAAUAGUCGGUGAUGACUUGUGGUUAGCGGAGAAAUUCCAAACGAAUUCGGAUAUAGCUGGUUCUCCUCGAAAUAGCUUUAGGGCUAGCCUCGCGAAACAGACUAUGAAGGUAAAGCACUGAAUGACCUAGGGGGCUUCACAGCCUACCGAAGUUUAUCAAACUAAGAAUGUUAUAGUUAAAGGCGCGGGAGUCAGACAGCGACAGCUAAGUGCCGUUGUCAAAAGGGAAACAGCCCAGAUCUACAGCUAAGGUCCCGAAGUACAGGUUAAGUGGAAAAGGAUGUGACGAUGCAAAGACAACCAGGAUGUUGGCUCAGAAGCAGCCACGCAUUAAAAGAGUGCGUAAUAGCUCACUGGUCGAGUGACGUUGCGCCGAAAAUUAACGGGGCUCAAACCUGACACCGAAGCUUAGGAAUACUUUAAGGAGUAUUGGUAGAGGAGCAAUGUAUACGAGAAGAAGGCGUACCGGAAGGAGCGCUGGAUUGUAUAGAAGAGAGAAUGCCGGCAUAAGUAGCGAGAGCGGAGCGAGAAACUCCGCCGUCGAAAGUCUGAGGUUUUCCGGGGAAGGUUCGUCCGCCCGGAGAAAGUCGGGACCUAAGCGGAGGCCGAAAGGCGUACGUGAUGGACAGCAGGUUGAUAUUCCUGCACUACCGAGAGAGAUAAUGAAGCAAUGACACGGAAAGAUAGAAGAAGCGCGCGGAUGGAAAAGCGCGUCCAAGCAAAGAGGGUGGCUGGUAGUAAAGAACGCCAGUCGUAAGCCUGAUUUGUGACGGGGAGUGGACCAAGGAAACGAAGUCUUUGAAUCUACGCCGGCGAGAAAAGUUGCUAAAUAUUUCGAGGUACCCGUACCGCAAACCGACACAGGUAGACGAGAAGAAAAUUCUAAGACGAACGGGAGAACCCUUGUUAAGGAACUCGGCAAAACGACCCCGUAACUUCGGGAGAAGGGGAGCCAUCGAGAGAUGGCCGCAGUGAAGAGGCCCAAGCGACUGUUUAUCAAAAACACAGGUUUCUGCUAAGGCGAAAGCCAAGGUAUAGGAGCUGACUCCUGCCCAGUGCCGGAAGGUCAAGGGGACUUGUUAGCAGCAAUGCGAAGCAACGAACUUAAGCCCCGGUGAACGGCGGCCGUAACUAUAACGGUCCUAAGGUAGCGAAAUUCCUUGUCGGGUAAGUUCCGACCCGCACGAAUGGUGUAACGACUUGUGAGCUGUCUCAACAGGGGGCCCGGUGAAAUUGAAGUAUGGGUGAAGAUGCCCAUUACCCGCGACUGGACGGAGAGACCCCGUAGAGCUUUACUGCAGCCUGAUAUUGAGUUUCGGUAACUGAUGCACAGGAUAGGUGGGAGUCUGAGAGACAUGGGUUUCGGCUCAUGUGGAGACGGUGUUGGGAUACCACUCUUCGGUUACUGAAAUUCUAACAUAGCUCUGUGAAACCAGAGGAUGGACAGUGUCAGGUGGACAGUUUGACUGGGGCGGUCGCCUCCGAAAGAGUAACGGAGGCGCCCAAAGGUACCCUCAGAAUGGAUGGAAACCAUUCGAAGAGCGCAAAGGCAGAAGGGUGCCUGACUGCGAGAGUGACAACUCGAGCAGAGACGAAAGUCGGGCUUAGUGAUCCGGCGGUAUUGAGUGGAAAAGCCGUCGCUUAACGGAUAAAAGCUACCUCGGGGAUAACAGGCUGAUCUCCCCCAAGAGUCCACAUCGACGGGGAGGUUUGGCA
rnacentral:rRNA from 1 species